GGUAGUUUUGCCGAGUGGUCUAAAGCACUUGAUUUAGGCUCCAGUCUCUUUGGAGGCGUGGGUUUGAAUCCCACCACUGCCA
rnacentral:tRNA from 1 species